rnacentral:rRNA from 1 species
UACGUAGGGCGCAAGCGUUAUCCGGAAUUAUUGGGCGUAAAGAGCUCGUAGGCGGUUUGUCGCGUCUGCUGUGAAAACUGGAGGCUCAACCUCCAGCCUGCAGUGGGUACGGGCAGACUAGAGUGCGGUAGGGGAGAUUGGAAUUCCUGGUGUAGCGGUGGAAUGCGCAGAUAUCAGGAGGAACACCAAUGGCGAAGGCAGAUCUCUGGGCCGUAACUGACGCUGAGGAGCGAAAGCAUGGGGAGCGAACAGG